ACCUGCUCGGUGAAUAUAUUUUAACAGCCGCGGUACUCUGACCGUGCAAAGGUAGCAUAAUCAUUUGCCUUAUAAUUGAAGGCUAGUAUGAAUGGUUUGACGAGAAUUAAGCUGUCUCUUUUUAACUAAAUAUAACUUUAUUAAGAGGUGAAGAAGCCUGUAUUUUAUUGAAAGACAAGAAGACCCUAUCGAGCUUUAAAGAAUUUAGUAGAUUUACCAUAUAUUAAUAAAAAAGUAAAGCAACUAAAUAUUUUGGUUGGGGCGACUGAGGAACAAACAAAGCUUCCUUUAUGCUAAUUAAAACUUACAAGUAUUGAUCCAAUUUAUUUGAUUAAAGAAAUUAGUUACCGUAGGGAUAACAGCAUAAUCUCCUUUGAGAGUUCUUAUCGAAAAGGGGGUUUGUGACCUCGAUGUUGGACCAGAAUACCCAGAAGAUGCAGCCGUCUUCAAUGGUUGGUCUGUUCGACCAUUAAAAUUCUACGUGACCUGAGUUCAGACCGGCGUGAGCCAGGUCAGUUUCUAUCUUCAAUUUUUAUAGUGGCCUUAGU
rnacentral:rRNA from 1 species